rnacentral:misc_RNA from 1 species
GUGAAUUAAACAUGCUUGGUGUCUUCGCUUCGGCAAGACCCUUGCUUAAAUCACAUCCUAACACCUGUGAACUGUAAGGCGUAUGAUAAAGCUUCGGCUGCAUCGUCGUCUGCCCUUUUUAACAAACAAUUAAUGUAACAAACGUAGUCUUAUUAUAACCUAAUA